GACGAACGCUGGCGGCGUGCCUAAUACAUGCAAGUAGAACGCUGAAGGGAGGAGCUUGCUCUUCUUGGAUGAGUUGCGAACGGGUGAGUAACGCGUAGGUAACCUGCCUGGUAGCGGGGGAUAACUAUUGGAAACGAUAGCUAAUACCGCAUAACAUUGAUUAUUGCAUGAUAACUAAUUGAAAGAUGCAACUGCAUCACUACCAGAUGGACCUGCGUUGUAUUAGCUAGUUGGUGAGGUAACGGCUCACCAAGGCGACGAUACAUAGCCGACCUGAGAGGGUGAUCGGCCACACUGGGACUGAGACACGGCCCAGACUCCUACGGGAGGCAGCAGUAGGGAAUCUUCGGCAAUGGGGGGAAGCCUGACCGAGCAACGCCGCGUGAGUGAAGAAGGUUUUCGGAUCGUAAAGCUCUGUUGUAAGAGAAGAACGAGUGUGAGAGUGGAAAGUUCACACUGUGACGGUAUCUUACCAGAAAGGGACGGCUAACUACGUG
rnacentral:rRNA from 1 species